CAUACAUCAAUCUGCUCCUGCUAUUGCAGUUGAAAAGUAUACUCCGGUUUUUUUAGGAGAGUUCGUGGUAUCUUUUAAUCUGAUCCGACAACCAAACAAAUAAGAAAAUUAAACUGAAAGAAAAGAAAAUUGGUGUCUAUUGUCUAACAAGCGUAAAGGAAGUCUUUGUGAUGAGCAUCUUCUGAAUCAGUAGCUCCCUCCAGUAUACUCUAUCUGAGGUCCCAAUGUAAACACAUUUUAAUACACUUAAAUCAAUCUCAAGAUUCAAAUGGAGAGACGAUGCAGAAUAGUAACAUAAUUCAUUAAAAAAAUCAAUAUUACUCAACUUUAGCUGAUCAUGAUCUUCUCUUGUUCUUUUUUUCCCAAGCUUCUUCCCUGUUAGAAAAUACACAUUUGUUAGCUAAGUUCAAGACCCAUACAUCUGCAUUCAUGUUUUCCUUAACGAAUAAAGAAAGUAGAACCAAAAUCAGAGUGAUGAUUGAAUUCUAAUAGAAAUAAAAAAAAUAGACAAGUAUUGUCAAAUCUAGACUCGAUUUCUUACCUUUAAAAGAUUUAGUGCCCUCAAUACAACACAAGAAAAGAAAACAAAACCACAAUGAAUGAUAAGGAAAACGAAUUUGAUAGAUAUCAAGAGUCGAUUGCCAAUAUUUCUUACCUUUUUCAUAGUAAAGUUCCCUCUUGUAAACCAACCGAAGAACAAAUCCCUCAACACCGAACGUGG